UGCCCGCCGGUUUUUCCCCACCUCCCCGUCCCCCAGCUCGCAAAUAGAUCGUGCCCCACCCACGAUCCUCCGUACCGUUCCUCCCGCCGGCGAAAUAGAUCCUCGCUCCAUCCGUCCUCCCGCCGGCGAUCCUCCGGUGAUGCGCCGGGCGCCGCCCUCCCUCGUGCUUUCCAGCCUCGCCGGCUCUCGUCCCGCCCCUGCAACACCCUGCGCCACCCUCCGCCGCCGGCUGCCAUCGGCAGGCUUCCCGUCGGUAACCCACGGGCUACCCCCGCGAAGGGCUGCGCGGCCGGCCCCCCUACCGACCCGGCGAGGCACCCUCGCCUGUCCCCAAUCUCGCGAUUCGGGCCCUCCCCGCUCCCCGGCGACCCUCUGGUGAGGCGCGGUCCUGUCCCCCCCCCCCCCUCGCCGUCCGGCGAGGUCCUACGCUGCCGGCUACCUGCAGCCUCUGGACGUCAGCGCGUCGCCCUCCCCGACGCGCUCCUCCUCCUCGUGCUUGCCUGCCUCGGAUCCACGGCCAAGGCUGCGCGCACAAGCAGUGUCGCUCGGCGGUGGCGCCCGCUCUGGACCGAGCUCGACGUGCUGGUGUUCCGCCGCGUCGACCCCGACACGCUCGCCGGCCUGCUCGCCAGGGCCAGGCACCCCAACCUCCGCCGCCUCGAGAUCUAGAUCUCCAUGCCGGACCAGGCGCUCCCGGCCUGGCAGAUGUCCUCGCUGCUCCGCACCGCCGAGGAGCACAACCCGGAGGAGCACGUCUUCAACGUGGCCAGCCGGGGCUACCUCGGCGUCCCGGCGCUCCCUCCUCCCUACACCGCCCCCUCCCGAUGGCGCUCCCCUCCUCCCGGGCCGAUGGCGUUGCCUCCGCCUGACGCCGCCCCUCCUCCUGAUGGCGCUCCCUCCUCCCAGCUCGUGGUCCGUUCCGGACGACGUUCCUCCCGUUGCUGAUCCGGGUACUGGCGCCGCCCACCGCCCGCUGCUGGCUAGCCCCUGCGUGUUCCCGCAUUCAUGGAGACGAUCUCCCGUUCCCAACGCCGCUCAAUCCUCGCAUCGCCAUUCCGCGAGUCCGAUCUGCCCUCCUGUCUCCGGCGAUCCUCCUCCGGCCUGCCUUCCUAUCAGUCUUAGCAUCAUUGAACUCUAUUGAACCGGCAUGCGGAUGCGGGGAAUUAGGCAACGGUGACGGCAUGGAGCUGGCAGUUGUGGGGGGUCCAACGGCAACGGCAUCGAGCAAGCUGCUAUGAGGUUUCUGGAGGUGGACAAUGAGUUUCACAUCACCGGAUCGGCAAGUGCAGCUGCGUACAGUGGUGGAAUUCCAGGUGACGAAAGGAAUAAUAAUUAAAAUCUGGGCACACACAGUUUGCACUAUCAAACUCUGCAGCUAAUGGAGGCAUUACCAAUUCAUCAGAUACCAGAGGGAGGAGGUGAAGAUACAGGAGUGGGUGAGUUGCCAGAAAUCUAAAUGACUAAGUUUGAAGCUGGCUGCGCAGUGCAGUGUGAUUGUUGAUGAGUUUAUUGGUGCACGGAGAUCAUCUGAUACAAUCAUCAUAGGUGAGGCAUCGAGCAGGUGCAUUGGAGCAAAUUAGGAUGAUUGAUAUGAUUCUCAACAUGUCAGUGCAUUCGGAUGUGCGGAUAAUGUAUCCAGAAGUCUCUUAAUGACUGCCUUCUUUGCAAUGAAAAUUCUGGAAUACUGUGAUGGUGAAGGCCAUGGCUGCCUAAAGACUAAUAUAAAUCUGGCACGAUCAGCUGGGAUGAGGGAUGAGAUGCUGCAUUACCGACGAGCUUCUCUAGUUUAGUAUUGAAGGGUUCCCCUUCCAUUUAAAUAUUUAUCUGAAGUAUAGUGUGUGCUAGCUAGAUCAGUGUCCCAGUGCCUCCUUUCAUUGUCCAUAUAUACAUGUUACCCUGUUACACAAAUUAACUUGGUGAACAAAUAUGCUGCUAGUAAAGUCAGUCUGUUGUAUUUGA